CCUCGGCCAUUAAGUACUCCCAAGCUUAGCCAAUCCCAAUGGACCACGUGGCAAAAGGAAUAGGUCACCAAAUGUGGAAGCAACCAAUGGAAGCAAGCUUAGCCAAAUGAGGGCUUGUUUAUGAGACUGCUUGCUCUUGGAUCGGCUCUCCACAGACAUAUAAAUACUAAAGGAAGAAGGAAUGAAACAUCCAUGAACAAAUGUGUAAAUGUUCAGGCAAGUAAGCUAAUUGAGAAGAAGUCAUGAACGUGCAUGGAUCUGUACCGAGGCAUAGAAGUUGUUAAAAAUGGAAAUAGCAUACAAGCGAGCUAGAGAACCUCUGUUCAACUGGCCUCAAAUAUUUACUGAUAAUAAAGCCAGGAGAAAGUUGCUAAA